GGGUCAAAACCCAAAAGAGCUCCACUUGCUCUUUCUCUGUCAUUUUGCCAAGAAUGACAUUAACACAGUCUACAUAUUUGCUUUCUCAGUGUUGUCGAUCCAUUUUAGGCAGGAGCAAUUAAUGCUCUUGCCUUCUCUCACCUAAUGCCACUGUUAAACAAUCUCAAAGUUUGUGUGGCUGUGAGGUGUGGGAGAAGGAAGAGCUUUCAAACUCCAUUCUCGAUAAGGCUGCCACUACAAAAGAAACUUGUUGUAUGCUCAUUUGGGGGAUGACUUGGUAAAUUAGACCUCCGUGGGGCAUUCCGAGGCCACGGAAGUACUUGUCCGAGGGAGUCACAAGGUGUCCAUUUCACCUAUCUUCCUUUGAUUACAGAAGCAAACUACUGGAAAAGAACCUUCAGUUUCAGAUUUUUAUUUUCGCACUCAUCGCAAGGAAAAAGACAAAAGUUGGGUAAAUGAGAAAGCUAAAGCUGCUUUUAAUAAAUUUGAAAAAAAGAAAGAAGAAUUAUUAGCUACUCAAAGUGCAUCAGUUGAUGGAGACACUAAUUCAGGUAGCCAACCAUCUCCAUUAAGUGACAUGGAUAUUUGGGCACUAUCAGUUAUGGAAAGAAAAAAGCAAGAGUUGCAGGUCUUGGCUCCUUGGGUUGAUCUGUAAAAGUUCCUAGGCAAUCAACAGCUGCAACACCGGAUGAAGUUGAUGAGAUUAGAUCUCAAGUUCAUACUUUAAAUUUCGAGCUAUAUAAUCGAUUGGAAGAAACUCAACGUGAAAAUGAAGAGAUGAGACGCCAAAACAAGAAGAUGAAGAAAGAGUUAGGUGACACAAAUAAGAAACUAGAAGCAUUGAUGAAGCAUGUGCGUUUCUCGGAAUCAUCUUCAAAUGCACAACCCUCAUCUUUGGAGGACAAUCAAGAUUCUGAGAGUGCUAAUGAUGAUAAUGCUGAUUCUGAUAAGUCCGAUGGGGAUGAGUACCACUAUGAUCAGAAUUGAGAUAUUUUAUAGUAAUACUAUUUAGCAUUAUAGUUGGAUUUUUUUUUUUUUGGGGGGGGGGGGGGGGGGGGGAUUUUAAUGCAACAACUUCAAAUGCACUCUCUCGUUGAUGACAGUUGCAAUGACUUCUAUAUUUUGAAUGAAAUGACUAUGAUUAGAAUAACAAUUUUUAUGAUUUUAUGAGUAUAUUUUUCUUUGUUA